AGCGGGGGUGGGCACUGGGGAGCGGGGGUCUCCCCGCCACGCAUCCCGUUCGGAAACCCCGCGGGGGCUCUCCGGCGGGGGCAGGUGAGGGGCGGGACAGGGCACGGCGGCCCUACGGGCUCGGCCCCCGAUCCCGGUCCGUUGUCAGGUCGAGCAGGAUCACGGUCCUGCCCGACCAGAGGAGUCGUCCCUCCGGCCCCCAUCCCGCCCAGCGCAAGGGGCAGGGGCACGGGACGGACCCUCACCCUGCAAGUGCUCUGUGUUUUAGUUGCUCUGCCCGCAGCCUCUGAAUAAAGUUUUUUUUUCCAGCAAACUCUCAGCCCAACCUGGCACCUGCUUGUCGUGCCUUCGGUGCCGGUGUGCCUCCCCUUGUCUUGACAGCUGGAGUAAUUCUCCAUGCCUUCCGCAAGUGCGUGGCAGCCUCGGGAGCAUGCAGUGAGAAACGUUAAGAAUGCCCGCUAAGGAAGAAAUCCCAAAAAAGGGAGGAAAGCUGGUGUAAUAGGCCCUGUGCAUUGCUGUUGCCUCGACAGAAAAUCAUUACUCAGUAACAGAUGAGCCAGUUCGGAAGAAGUGCCACUGGGAUACUGCACACUUUCAUUCAUAGAUGCUAUGUAUUAGAGGAAGUAGCAGGAGGCCUGCCAACUUUCCCAAUUUAAUUAUUAAACUGUCAGUUCCUGACUCCUUGUUUCAACUUCCUGAGGCAACAUCUGGCUGUAAUAACAAAAAUAAAUAAAUAAAAUAAAAUUUGAUCAUUCACUCAGCAGCA